CCUACGGGUGGCAGCAGUGGGGAAUAUUGGACAAUGGGCGAAAGCCUGAUCCAGCCAUGCCGCGUGUGUGAAGAAGGCCUUCGGGUUGUAAAGCACUUUCAGUGGGGAAGAAAGCCUUGGGGCUAAUACCCUCGAGGAAGGACAUCACCCACAGAAGAAGCACCGGCUAACUCCGUGCCAGCAGCCGCGGUAAUACGGAGGGUGCGAGCGUUAAUCGGAAUUACUGGGCGUAAAGCGCGCGUAGGCGGUCUGAUAAGCCGGUUGUGAAAGCCCCGGGCUCAACCUGGGAACGGCAUCCGGAACUGUCAGGCUAGAGUGCAAGAGAGGAAGGUAGAAUUCCCGGUGUAGCGGUGAAAUGCGUAGAGAUCGGGAGGAAUACCAGUGGCGAAGGCGGCCUUCUGGACUGACACUGACGCUGAGGUGCGAAAGCGUGGGUAGCAAACAGGAUUAGAUACCCCGGUAGUC
rnacentral:rRNA from 1 species